rnacentral:rRNA from 1 species
GAUGAACGCUGGCGGUAUGCUUAACACAUGCAAGUCGAACGAUGUUUUAGGACAUAGUGGCGGACGGGUGAGUAACGCGUAAGAAUCUACCUUCAGGUUUGGGACAACCAUUGGAAACGGUGGCUAAUACCGAAUGUGCCGAGAGGUGAAAGGCUUGCUGCCUGAAGAAGAGCUUGCGUCUGAUUAGCUAGUUGGUGGGGUAAGAGCCUACCAAGGCGACGAUCAGUAGCUGGUCUGAGAGGAUGAUCAGCCACACUGGGACUGAGACACGGCCCAGACUCCUACGGGAGGCAGCAGUGGGGAAUUUUCCGCAAUGGGCGAAAGCCUGACGGAGCAAUACCGCGUGAGGGAGGAAGGCUCUUGGGUUGUAAACCUCUUUUCUCAGGGAAGAAGACAAUGACGGUACCUGAGGAAUAAGCAUCGGCUAACUCCGUGCCAGCAGCCGCGGUAAUACGGAGGAUGCAAGCGUUAUCCGGAAUGAUUGGGCGUAAAGGGUCCGCAGGUGGUAGUGUAAGUCUGCUGUUAAAGAGUCACGCUCAACGUGAUAAGAGCAGUGGAAACUACACAACUAGAGUACGGUAGGGGCAGAAGGAAUUCCUGGUGUAGCGGUGAAAUGCGUAGAUAUCAGGAAGAACACCGGUGGCGAAAGCGUUCUGCUAGACCUGUACUGACACUGAGGGACGAAAGCUAGGGGAGCGAAUGGGAUUAGAUACCCCAGUAGUCCUAGCCGUAAACGAUGGAUACUAGGUGUGGCUUG